GCUAAGUGUCAUUUCAUUGAAAUCCUAAAAAUAGAAAAGGGUGAGAUCUGAGAGGAGUGGGGGAGGCUCUGCUAGGGUUUUGUGCGCAGCCUCCCUCCAUGAACGUCGACGGCGCGACGGAUCGCUGUCAUGGCGUCGUCAUGGUUAAGGUGGACAGUCAGCUAUGCAGAGGGAAGGAGAAGAUGGCUGAAGAGGGAAACGAAGAAAGGUAGAGGGUGGUUGCUGCCACCGAAAAUCAUUUUCGAAGGUGGUGCGCGGUUCGUCACGAUCAGGCAUAGUAAGGGUCCACAAAAGAGGCUAAAGGCCGACGAUGCCGCCACCGAAAAUUGCCUCCGAUAGCAGCGCGUGGCGGUGCAUGGCGAUACUUGCGGUGGCCGAAAAUUGUCUUCGACAGCGGUGCAUGAUGGUGUUCAUGGGAAGCAUCGUUUCAUUCCCUGUUGGUACCAAGCUCAUGCUUUUGGAAGCAUAUAUGGCAAAAGCAUGCUCUUAGGAACAUGUUGGUGGCUAUGGCAGAGAAGCUCAGCAAGCUUGUUGGAGGAGGAUUAACAACAUA